rnacentral:lncRNA from 1 species
CAUUUUCUCCUCCUGAGACAGCUCCUUCUCGAAGGGGUUUGGGUACAAGAGGUUUCUGUCUAGUAUGAACUCCUUUCUACGUUUCCUUUCAUCAAGCCUUUUGGAAUAAAUACGCAAGACACGGAGCUUGAGGUCUUUUUCUUCAGGAGUAUCGUUGUCUUUGAACUCCAUCUCAGCCAAGAGCUGCUCAGCAUCGUUGUCAUAUUCAGGGUCGAACUCUUCUCUUUUGUGGUUGUAGUUACUCAAUUCAACCAAAGAGUUGUUUCCAGGGGCAACAACAGGUUUCUUUCCUCCAAAACUCCUGUCUGUAUGAGACUCUAAAAGAGGUGGUGAUCAAAGAUAAGAUAUAACUACUUGUGUGAGCUAUGACCAAGUAAACAACACAACAAGAAGCACACAUAUAAUAUACCAAGCAAAGAACUCUACCUUUUUGUGUGUCUUCAACUCUGCAAGAUAAUUGAAUAAGAGAUAAGAAAUAGGAGUAAGGCAUCACUGUAAAGUAUCUGUGAAGGAACAAGAGACAUACUUGACUUUAGGAGGAGAAAAGGGGUACUCUUCUUUCAUGUUCUGCUCUGCUGCCAAAGAAGAAGCUAUAUUAAUUUUCAGAAUUAGGAUAGCAACCAUUAAAGCAAAGUAGUGUAGACCUUUCUUCUCUUCGAUGCGUCCUUUGGCCAUGGCUUGAAGUUCUUUCUUGUUCUUCCCUGCUACAUGUGACAUAUCCUGGGAAAUAAAAAAAGGUUGCUCCUAGUUAAUGACAUUGCAAAAGGCUAGUACACUACUGUGGAAGAUAUAUGUACUUCAGAUGGAUAUAGCAUACUGGAAGUGGGAAGAAGGGAGAGUUAAGAUAAAUGUUUCUGUAGUGCUCGAGACAUUGUUCUUUACUCUUCGUUCCCACAUGCUCCGCGACCUCUGCCCAGUUUCCCAUUCCAUAAAUUUCAAGUCCCUGAAUCAAAGGUACCAAAAAAAAAAGAAGAAGUUUUAGUUGUUUGAAAGAAACAGAAACAAAUAGGCUACAUAUCAGUAAGAAGGGAGUAGUAGUAGUACCUCCAGGAGAAGCAUUUCAUCAUCAGCACUCCAGUCCGGACAAAUAAGCGGGAAAGUUAGAUUUCCCUGACAAAAACAAAUCAAGUAUGUUUGGUUUAAAUGAUGAAAUCAUUACAGAAAACUCGAGUCUUCUUUGGUGAAUCAAACUCUUGACACACUAAGAAAAGGAAAAGCAAACUAACCAUAACACGGUAGGCGUGAUCACAUUUGUGAGGAGUGAUCUCAGCUCCCACAGACAUACACUCAACACAGAGAUCAAAAUCAGGACAGACAUCACACUUGAUCCUGAUUUUGCCAGUAAUGUCUUUCUGGCAAUAAUCGCAGUUGUACUUCCCUCCUCCCUCCGUUCCUGUAACUGGAAAGUUUAAUGUUUUUUGAGUUCAAAAGGAAGAAUAUUUACAGGAGACAACAAAAAAAAAGGGGAGGGGGGGCUUUGAAGAGAGUACCCAUAGAGGAAGACUCAAAGUUCUCCACAUUAGCCGCAUUUUUCUUCUUCCUCGUUCUGCAGUUAAAGUCACAAUCUUACAGAUGAUGAAGAUAAGGAAAGACUACAGCUACUGAAAGAUUUCUAAAAGCUACCAAGAUUCACAGAAGCUUGCAAUUCAAUCAAUUUCGGAGGAAGCAGACAGAACCCAUGUCGGAAAAAAAAAUAAAAAAAAAUCAAUGAUUGAUUCAUAGAAGCUUGCAAUUCAAUCAAUUUAGGAAAUUUGGAGGAAUCAGACAGAACCCAUGUCGGAAAAAUAGGAAGGAGCAUACCUCUGGGUAGGGUCUUCGAAAUUGUGGAAGUUCCCACGAGAGCGACCCAUUGCUUCCGAAACAAUGUCAAAGUCGAAGAAGGGUACUUAGGGUUUCGGUAAAAGCUAUAGUAGAAGAAAGAUCCAAUUGGAAUUGUCCGAAGUUGUCAGGUCGGAUCUGUAAUGAAUAACGACGGUGGCCUUUGUGUGUUCUGUAUCUGUUAGAACUUUCCGACCUGAGAUAAUUUAGGGGAGGUCGAGGAAGGAGAGGAAAAGGAAUUUCUAUUUUCUAAAGUCACUCUUCUUAAUUAGCAUCAUGAUUAAAUUUAACUGCCCAUCUACACUAUAAUAUUUAUACUUACUACACUAAUGUAAUUGCACUUAUUGUUUUUAAAAAUAUUAGUGUAAAUUUCAGUUAAUGUUAAUUACUUGCUCAUUACAUUUUUGAGAUUGUAGCUAGGGUUGAGCCUAUCAUUUAUUAAAUUUGAUCCAAUUUGUUAUUAGUUUCGAUUCAAUCAAUUUUUUUAAUAUAUGUAAAAGCUCGGAUCAAAAAAAGUAAAAUAUAAUAAGCACUAAAACUAAAAUAAAUCACAAUAUUAUUUUGAAAAAUUCAAAUAUUCAUUUUGAUAAGUAAAUCUAUAGAUAUGUAAUAUAAUUGUACAUAAAAAGCAUUAUAUAUGUAUCUAUCUAUAUAUAUAAAGUAUUGUUUGUCUCUCUCCUGUUGCGCCACGUAGGCAGACAUGUCAGAAAUUCGGGCUCUGUGAGUGUGACAUGUGUCCCUAUCACUAAAACUCUUAGUUUCAUUUAUUCGGGUGUGUGAUGCAUGUGGGCUUUAGUCUGUAUUUGGGCUUUAUGUUUGGCUUAAUGAAACAAUAUUAUCCACGUCUCCCAGAAUAACCCUCGAACUCGAAACCCUUUCUGAGAAAAUGAGAACGAAAGAACCCAACUCUAUAUUCCACGAGAUUUCCCAGUUCCGCGGAUUUGUUCGUUAAAGCACUCGCGAAAAGCACCCGAAUUUUAUCCGAUCGCCAUAGGAGAGAAGGGUCAAAGCGACUCGCGGGAGGAGGAGAAGACCGGGUAGAAGGAAGAUAUUGAGUCCGGAAAUGGCGGGUCUGGCUCGGUUGAUGGAGAGAAGUGAAGGAGGAGUGAUGAUCCGGGUGAGAAUGAGCUGUUGGGUUCGCGAGCAGUUUGGUGAGACGCGAAGAUGAGUCGACGACAGACUCUACGAGAGAAAAUCGAAUUCAUCUUUACCCCAAAAGGCGAGACCUUUCGCGUUAGAAAAAAGAAAAGAAAAAAGAUGAAGCUUUGAUGGAGGCAUGCAGUGCACAGAAGUCUCUGAUGUUUAAGACCCAAGUGCUGGAUAAUAAUUAUUAGGUUUUACAAAUACAUAGAGGAAUCAAUGUGCAGGGCAGUUUCUAGCAGCUCCUUUGUUGUUUCCCACGAUUUAUUAUUGAACACAUACCCCUUUACUCCCUUUCUCUGAAUCUUCUCCUAUAAAUGGUAUGUUCUACACUUCAUCAGAUCAAUCUUCUCACUCAAACGCUUUCGCAAAAUCCAGCAACCAACAAUGGCUAACUCCAUAGUUUGGCAUAAGCACAAACAUAUAGAAGUAUAGUCUUUAUGUAUAUUAGUCAACAAUUUUUCUGUGAUUUGCUUGGUACGUGGUUGAGUCUGAAUGUGAUCAUGUUUAAUUAAGUAUUAUGAGUGCAUCCAUGUUUAGUUCUUAUGUAUAUUAGUCUAUAGUGAUUCACUUGGUAUGUGGUUGAGUCUAAACAUGAUCAUGUUUGAUAUAAUAUGAUGAUUUACUUGGCACGAGGUUGAACCUAAUGUGAAUGUGUUUGAUUCAGUAUGAUAAGUGCAUCAAGGACUGUGAUAAGGCUGUUGAAAGGGAUAGAAAGCAUAUGCUUUUGGAAUAUAUACGCAAGACACGGAGCUUGAGGUCUUUUUCUUCAGGAGUAUCGUUGUCUUUGAACUCCAUCUCAGCCAAGAGCUGCUCAGCAUCGUUGUCAUAUUCAGGGUCGAACUCUUCUCUUUUGUGGUUGUAGUUACUCAAUUCAACCAAAGAGUUGUUUCCAGG